GCACCGCACCGCGCGUCCCACCGCACCGCGCGUCCCACCGCACCGCGUGUGAACUUUGACCGGGGCUGUGCUGACCUUUGUGAGCGCUGCGAGCAGAUUAUGGAGGGAGCGUUUCCCGAAUGAGACCGCACAACAACAGCCUCUGCCCUUUUCCCAAAUGACCCACGGUGUCCUGCUUGACGUUAAUUAAGGAGUAGUUAUUCUGCGGCCAUUGGGGCCCAACGCGGCCCCAGUUUCAGCUGCAAACGCAUCAAAUGGAAGUGGAAGAAUGUUUUCCCUGGCAUCAGUCACUUGGAAACCUUGUUGCCAUGAAGCCGUCGCGUUGCUACGCAGCGAGCCUUGUUUGCGACGGGAGCGGCAGACUGGCAUGUUGACACUAACUUUAAUGAAAGGAUUAGCGCAACCUCAAGGCCUUCUGACAGACGCACGUCCUCACAUCAAACAAGCAGUGGAGGAACCUGAGCUUUAACAGCUCCUAUGCAGAUAGUAAAUGUCAUGAAAAGUCAACGUUAACAUGAUACACACCUUACUGGCACCGGGCAGGAGGUGCAGCUUGACGUAGGGGUCGGACAGUCCGUUGUGGUCCAUCGGCUUGAGCCCCUUUAGAGGAAACAGGCAAAGAGUCACGAGGUUCAUAAUGAGACCCAAAAUCAUCAGAUCAAAUGAUCAAGAGAUAAAACGACUGUGAAAUGUUGCA